UGGAAUCCACCUUGAAGUUGGUGGGGUCUAUCCGGAGCUGGUAGGCGUGCAGCGUCUGCAGAGGAGCCAGGGUGACGGUCAGCUGGCUGAUGUCUUUGGCUCCCUCGGCGAUGGCCAGGACGAUCUUCUUCCCGUGGGAGGACAGGUUUAAAUGUAAGAAAAAGGCUUCAUGGUGACAUAAAUGAAAGAUUUGGAACAAAAAGAAGAAGUCUUGUGCAGAUAAAACCUCUUCUGUGGAUAUCUGAGGGAAGAACCGGCGUGCAGCAUCUGAUAAGACUGAGAGGACCUGCAGCCCACAUGACUGCACACUAUUUAUGGACAUAAAAAUGUUUUUUAAAGCAGAAAACGGGAAAAAAAUACACAUUGAGCAAAAUAUGUCCAUUUAAAAUAGAUUUUUAUUCAUUUAUUUAUUUUAUUACUGAACCAUAAAGGUUAGAGAUGUUUUAAUUCACAGCCUUAUUGUUGUUUACUUAAAGUUUGUAAAAAAAAAA